GGAGCGGGGAGGAUGGAAGAAGGGGAGAUAAAGAAAAUUUCAAAGAGAAAGAGGAAAGAGAAACAGAAGGAGAGAGGAAAAAAGAGAAGGAAGGAAGGAAGAAAAGAAGGAAAGAAAGAGAGAGAUCUGGUUUCAAAUCUGUUUCUUCUACUUCCUAGCUAUAUGACCAAAGGCAAAUAUUUCUUUACUUCUCAGGCUCAGUUUCCUCACAUUAAAAUGGAUUAACAGUCCUUGAACUACCUCUUUCUCAGGGCUCUUGGGAGAAAGAUGCAUAUAAACCUUAAUGGUCCACAGAAACAAGAAUGACUGUCAUUUUAGAUGUGGCAAUGUGGGUCACAUAAUUAAGUGACAUCAGAAGAAGCUCAAAAUCUGGCAAAAAUGGUGGGUGAGGAGGAGGCAGGUAACAGGAUAUUCAAGUAAGACUUAAUCCACCUGGCUUCCUUGCACUGGUUGGUGCCCUUGGCUUUGCCAAGUUGAAAGGAGGACUCUUGCACUGCCAACUCACUCCUAGACCAAACACAUUAAUAAAUGUAAGCAGUUCUUCUAGGGGGAUAAUGUGAAGAGAGAUCCGAGGCGCUCUCCCCAUCCCACAGCCUCCAAGUCCUCCAAGAGUUAGCCUGGAGCAGACCACAUAUCAUCCAACUGGGCUUAAGUUCAAGAAAGAGACUCAAGAACUGUCCACUGGUCUAGAGGCUCCAUCUUAAUCCACAAGCAGUCAGACCAUCCACUUACCAGGCAAGAACUCUAAAUCCUGGCUGAAGGGGUCUUUCUUCAAGGAGGAUGGGAAAAUGUACCGGAUCCUUUUUUGCUUGUGUUUAUCAUUCAUUUCGCGGACACACAGAAGACACCAAUGCGUGGUUUCUAAUUAAACCCACUCAUAAGAUCAGAAGGAAAGUGUCUUUGUUUGUUUAAUUGUUGUUUCCCCAUAAAAAUCCUUCCUCGAUGCCUUAUUUGUGGCGUGGAGGCAAUCCUGUUUCCCAAGGGAUGUCAGAAGAAUACAAGCUCUGGAGGGUAUGGUGAGAGAGCUGAAAGAACCUGGAAGAAGAACCUGACCACUCAGAAGGUGGCUACUGUGGGAGGAUGGACCCGACCAAGUACAGUGAGCCCCAUUUCCAUAAGAAUUGCACAUCACAAACAUCACACAAGUUGUCCUCAGUCUCAGGGCAGGAAGGAUUCAGGCUGGUCGUGUUACACCUUUUGAAAAUUGUUGUUUGUCCUUCGUUUUCAGAGGAUCAAUGACACGUGGCUGUUGCCUGGAUUCGUGCAGGAAUUGGAUGCAAGUUGCCCAAAGUCAUCAGCCUCUCUUUCAGACACUGAGGUCCGGUGGCAGGACAAAGGUGAAGGGGACCCGUGAGGGCCCUGAUUCAGUGGAGAGCCUUGGGAACUUCUACGUCUGACCACGCUCCAAGCGCUCCAUUGGACCAAAUUGUUCUUCUCUGCCCAUUCUGCCGAGGAAGUUCUCCGUGGGCUGGGGGAAGGCUCCCCCUCCUAAUUCACAGAAGGCUUGACUCCUUUCAUUACCCUCAAGCUGGCUCACUCCAUCUGCUGAGACAGUAUCAAGGCGGCCGCUGCCCGGGCUCCAGCUUCUUGGAGCCCCGGGUGCCAGACUGACAUCAAAGGGAGAUGAGCAGCCCCGAGAGGGGCUCGGCCGUCACCCCGCCAGAGAGGCGGGACUCCCAGGCUUCCCCUCCUUGGGAGAGACGAGGGGAGGACGCGCCUUGCUUGGGAUCCAAGUUUUAGGACCGUUAGCUUCUGCGGCGGCUGCUGCGUUUUCUUGCCAUUACUCUGCCCUAGUUUUUUUUUUUUUUUUAAUUUUUUAAAAUUAUAUCUUUUUAUUUACAAAACCUGUGCGUGGGUAAUUUUUCAACAUUGACCCUGGCAAAACCUUCUCUUCCCAAUUCCCCCCCCCUCCCCUAGCUGGCAGGUAGUUCAACACAUGUUAAAUAUGUUCAUAUUUAAUAAUAAAUAAAUAAUGUAAGUAUGUUAAAUCCAAUGCACGUAUACAUAUUUAUACUCUUCUUUUGCUGCACAAGAAAAAUCAGAUCUAGAAAGGAAAAAGACCGAGAAGGGAAACAAAAGACAAACAAAUAAUAACAGAGUGAGGAUGCCAUGUGGUGGUCCUCACUCCCUUCCCAUAAUCCUCUCUGGGGGUAGGCGGCUCUCUCCGUUACUGGACAAUGGGAACUGGUUUGAAUCAUCUCACUUUGACGAGGGCCAGCUCCGGUUUUGUCUGGCCCGGUGACACGAGGUCAAAGUGACUUGAUGAGAGUCACCACUUGGGUCCCAGUUUCCAGUAAGGAUGGGGGUCGGGGAGACAAAUCAAAAAGCACCCGGAAGUCUGAGGCCUUCCCUCCAUUGCACUGGGGAGGGAGGGACAGGAGAAGAGAUCCUGUUUUCUGAGAGAAUCCGGAAGGGGACGGAUUCCAUUUCGUGGAGACCUCAAAGCCAAAGUUCACUUGUUGGAAACGUGGAAGACAUUUUUGUUUAGUCACAGGCUAGACAGAGACGCUUCGGGGUCUCUUCCCGCGCUGAGAUUCCGAGAUUCCUUGAAAGUCCCGAGGUUCCUGAGCAGCCCCCCCCCCAAAAGGCCGGGGGAGCUCUUGCUCGCCGGCUGGGCUCUGGGCCUGGGAAUGUGUGGGGCCGGGACAGCUGGAAUUGGAGCUCGAGCCAACACAAAUCUGGCUUUCCGGGGAUGACGUCACCAUGGGGGGAGCGGGCAGCCCCGGCUUCCAGCACCUGUUCUGGAAAAUCCCCCGCCGUGCUCCUGCCCCCCGGCAGCCGGGCUUGAUGUGGGUCUUGCUCCGAAAGCUCUCGAGUCCCGAUUCCUAGAAGGAAGGCGCCUGGCGGCCAGCGGCAGCAGCCCCCACAGGGGCCCUUGGGACGCCCGCUCCCCCUCGAGGCCUCGGGCCCCGGACACUCCGGGAGAGCGGCGAGAGCUCCCGUGCCCCCCUCCCCCAAGAAGGGCCUCUCUCCUGCUGCGGCUUCUACCUAAAAGUCACCCGCUGGGCGCCGGGGCCCAGGAGACUCAGAGCCCUGGAAAAGGCAGAGGCCGAGCAGCCGUUCGGCGCUGACCCCGGGCCCAGAGGCUUCCCACACCGGAGACCCUCGGGCGUCCACGUGUGACGUGAGCCGGUGGGAGCCGCCCCUGAGAUCCCGCGCUCCCCGCGAGGAGAGGAGACGGGCAGAGCGGCAGUGGGAGCGCGGCCACUGUCAAUGUGGCCCCUUCCGGGCGGGGAAGCGCCUCGGGGACGCCAGCUCUGGUUUUCUCUCCCGAAAAGGAACCGGAGCCAGAGGAGACGGCCCUAAAUCACAGAGUUCCCGAAGUGGGAGGGUCUCAGAACAGGGAAUGGCAGGGGUGGGAGGGUCUCAGAACAGGGAAUGGCAGGGGUGGGAGGGCCUUAGAACAGGAAGGUCAGGGGUGGGAGGGCCUUAGAACAGGAAGGUCAGGGGUGGGAGGGCCUUAGAACAGGAAGGUCAGGAGUGGGAGGGUCUUAGAACAGGGAAGGUCAGGGGUGGGAGGGUCUCAGAACAGGGAAUGGCAGGGGUGGGAGGGCCUUAGAACAGGGAAGGUCAGGGGUGGGAGGGCCUUAGAACAGGAAGGUCAGGAGUGGGAGGGCUUUAGAACAGGGAAGGUCAGGGGUGGGAGGGCCUUAGAACAGGGAAUGGUAGAGGUGGGAGAGCCUUAGAACAGGAAGGUCAGGAGUGGGAGGGCCUUAGAACAGGGAAGGUCAGGGGUGGGAGGGCCUUAGAACAGGAAGGUCAGGGGUGGGAGGGCCUUAGAACAGGGAAUGGCAGGGGUGGGAGGGCCUUAGAACAGGAAGGUCAGGGUGGGCAGGAAGCCAAAGCCAGGAAGGACCUUGGGACCCGGAGCCCAGGAGAGGUUUCCGUUCCCCAGCCAACUUCUCACCUUGUCCAUGAGCUGGCUGCUGUACAGGGGAGGGGGGGGGGGGGGAGGCUCCCCAGGUUGAGCCAGAAUCUGGCCCCCCAGCGGCUCCUUCCUCUCCCCGCCCCCACCGCUCCCAAUGUUUAUGAAGCACUUAGUGAGCGCACCGGCCCAGGCUCCUCCGCUGCUCCAUCCCGGCUGCCCUG